AUUUUGUGCAUUUGCCAAGUUAGGAAUCUGUAAACUAGACCUUGGGAUGAAAAAAAAGAUGAUACAAACUUUUGCUUUGAGUAUGGACGAUCUGAACCUUUGUACAGACUCAGAGGAAUGUGGUUAUUAACAACAAAUACCCUCUCAAUUUUUCCUCUUCUCCAAAGUAACUGGUCCAUACAUGAGCUCAGUUUUUGUGGUAACCCUUAGGGUGAGUGCAAACAUCAGAGCUCUCAUGAAAAGCAUUCGAUAUACUUUAUGGUCAGAGAGGGGGAAGAGAAGUAAGCCUGGAGCGCCUGCAGACCUGCAAUACCUAGGAAAGUGUUCCCAGUUCCCUCUAGACCUGUAGGCAGACUGGGUUUCUCCAAGCUCUUCAAAACUUGUCUGUGAAGGAUUACUUCCCAGAAUAUGUCCUCAAGAAGCUGCCUGGCCAGGCUGGGAUGAAGGUGGCAGUGGAGCAGGAGUGAUCCCCUUUGGAUUUCCCCAGAUUAGACCGCGGAGUGUACAGACAGGAAGCUGAAGUAUUGAGCGCCUGACCAGAGCUUCCUCCUGUGCAAGAGUGGGGGUUUCUCCAACUUGAAUCUUUAGCUCUACAAGCACAGUCCGAGUCUUGAAGUCCAAGGGAUAAAGAGCACCCAAAUCUUUCAGCUGGGUCCUCCGAGCGUGGAGAAUGGAGUACUGCACUUAAGCCCUGCUUGCAAGGUCAGCAAAACAGUUCUCACCUCUCCCUGCUGCUGCUUACCUUCCUGGCUCCUUAUCAAGCAGGGAAUCAGAAAGGGACUUUCCAGAGCUAUAAACAUGUGAGCUGAAGAGAUGGAAUGAACCCUUAUGCAAAUGAGUCUUGAUUCCCUUCCCUUUAUAAAGAUAAAAAGUUUUUGAGAGAGCAACGGCUCCUCCAGAAUGUGGGUGUCCGGAGUUAUUGCCUCGGACUGGCUGGAUCUCUCUGUGCUAUCUGUCUGUCUGUCCGCCUUUCUUUCUGCUUGUCUGUCUUUCCAUUGUAGAGAACAAAGCGGAGUGAUGUAAAAUAGAAAAUGAGACAAGCAAACCUUUGGUGAUUGAAGAGGAGGAAGGAAAAUGAAAGAGAAAAAGCUGAAGAGUGGGAAAAAGAUAAAAUAAAAUGAAUUUUGGGGAUUCCACUGUGAGUAAGAGCUGAAAAAAAAGUAAGCUGAUUUAUUACAUGUUUAUCUUCUGCCUGCGAGUCAGUGUGCCUUGUAUAUGCGAGGGGUGAACUGCACAUUAAAGAUUGAAUCAAAAAGCCAAAUUCUUCCUCAAUUCCUCCAGCUUUAAACGAGCAUAAUUCUGACAGCUCCGAUGGAUUUACAUUUUGUAAACAGCAGCGGAAUCAAGAUCAAGUCCUUUAAGUCAUUUUGAGUCAUAUUUAUGCUGAAGUUAUGAGAAAUUUAGAAUGACUUUUAAAUAACGUUUGUCAGGGAAGCUGCACAUUUUCUAACGCUUCUCUUCACUGGGCAGGAAUUUUGCUAUGGUCAUUGCAGUGUUGUUAUGACUUUAUUCUGAAUCCAAUGGCAGUACAGAAAGAAGGGGUGAUGUUAUCGUUAUGUGCAUCCAUAUUUUCCUUGCAUUAUGACUUAUGUAUAUUCAUUUUUAUUUUAAAUGUGUAUUUUAACAACCGUUUAAACAGGGAGAUGGCAUGAGCUAGUUGAUGUAAGUAUUUUUUUUUCUCUCCAUCAAAUGCCACUGAUUUUGAAAAUGCAGUGUUUGACUGCAGCCGGAGGGUUUAGCUGGCUACACCUUGCUUUCUUUCACAUUAAUCCUUUACUCUUUUGCAGGUUUAUUUCUUCCUUUGCGUGCUCUGAGCUUAUCUGGGCAUCCAAAAGUUUGUUUUAUAGUAUGGAAGAAGAGGGACAGAGGAAGCACCGCAGGUUUUCUUGAUGAAAUUUCCAAGCUUUUGCAGGUGUGGAGACGGGCUUCUGGAGCCUGCAGAAUAAGGCAGCUCCCAUCCCUCUCUUUCUCCACCUAAUCAGACAGUUUCUCUUACUCUUCCUUUUUCUGAACAGUUUGUUCGCUAAAAAAUGCUGUUUCGAAUGAACUGAAAUUAUUGACAGAGCUGAAUGGAGUGGUGCAAAUAGUACUGGGUAAACCAUCAAAAAAAUAUUUUGACAUUUGUAGAAUUAAAUCCUAAUUCUUUCUUUGAAAGUGCUUUUUUUUCAUUUUCAUGUUCUUCUUAUCGUUUUUAUGCAGCAAUAAUGACAGCAAAGAAGAAACGAAGUAUUUUGUUUUAGGCCAAGAAAUACGUUCUAGUGCAGCUCAAAUUAUUUGCUUAUUUAUUUAUUGUUCAGAAAAGAACAAAAGUCACUCCAGGUUCCACCAAAUGGCAUUUUCCUUUUCCUUUCUUUCUUCUUUUUUUUUUUUUGAUUAGUAGAGGAAAACAUGGCUAAUUGCCACAGCCAAAAGUCCAUACCAUUGUCAGGACCAGCUGUAUUUCAGCUAUGUUAAUCUGGCAGAAUACUGAGCAUUCAUUUUCUGUGGGAAAUGAUGAUUAAAAAAGGGAAUUAUUUUUGAUAAGAAAAACGUACCCUUUUCUGUGCUUUUAUUGGUCAGAUUAAAUAUAUAAUCCACCUUUUCCCAUAAUCAGGGAAAGAAAAAAAAAAAAAAAAGGAGGAGAAAAGUCAGCUUUCAUUAUUGAAAUAGAUUUUCUGGAAGAUUUUUGACCCAAUUCCCUAACAUGAAAGGCUGCAGCUACUCUCUCCUGCAGUGUUUCAGAUGCCUGUGCUCCAUCGCAGCUUCCAUUGGGGCUGAGCGCUUCCCUUGGGCAGCAGAGCCUGGAGCUCCUGGAGCCAUGGGAUGAGGCUGCGGUGGGGACUCUUUGGCAGGACAGAGGUUUCAAGUGUGUCAGUGACUGCCUGUGGUCUUUGUGGGGGGAUUCAGUAAGGAAAAGUAUGGAAAACAGAGAGCUGCAGAAAACUAUUUCAAAGCUUGGAUUCUGUAGUGCAUGCUGGAUAGCCAAGUCCUCACCGGCAACUUGAGCAAUGUCAUGUCAAAAGUCUGUGUAGAAAUCAAAGAAUGUCUUUACUUUUCACUGUAAUCAUUUGUAGCAGUUAAUACAUUUGAUUAAAUGUUCGAGAGUUGGUCAUGUUGAAUCUGAAUGGCACCUAGAACUAUUUUCUUUAAAAUCAGCCCCGGUGAGCUCAAGGGGAGCCAGAUUUAACAUCGUGGUGAGCGUAUCCUGGUGGAAGGCAGGCUGGCUCCCCGCAGGCUGUCUGCAUCAGCGCUUCUCAGCCUUCUCUAAUGGGGCCUUCUUGGAAAAGCCGUGGCUGGACCAUUUCCCACGCACAACAAGGAGCCGUCUGCACCUGCAGGCGCUCACUGGCAGCAUCCAGAGAGCGGCUCCCGGCUCCGUCUGCCAGCACUGGUGCUUCUCUGCCAAAUGGAGCAGACAUGUGGUUUGUAUCUUCUAAAUGAGCUCGUGCAUAGAGCAGGUUCUGGCGUCCGACAGCAAACAGUGGGCUGCAGCCCACGGGCUGUGUAACACCCAUCCAGCUCCCGGCGCUGUCACGCCUGCACCUGGUCAUGAGCCAGAGCUCUCGGGCUGUUGCAUUCGCUGCUGUGUGCCGGUCUCUGCAUAACUACGGCCAGUUUGCACUGCACUUGAGCUGUUUCAUUAUUCUAAUUUUAAUUGUAGUUGAUUUCAGUGAAUUAAUGUUGAAAUGGGCUAUCUAUGAACUGAAAGUGUGCUUGCUCUUCACAGCUUAUUUUCAGUAGCUGCAGUAUUGUUAGAGUAUAAAUACAGCCAUCUCUUCUGGAAUCGUAGGAUCACUGGAGUUUGAAGGGAUGUUUAAAGGUCUUUGAUUCCAAUUCCCCUUUCCAGAUUUCAACUCCAGCUUUUAUAUUUCAAGUAUUUAGAUACUGAACCUGUCUGAAGAAAAAAUAUCUCCGGCUUCUAAUGGAUUUCUAACAUUACAAUUGUUUAUUAUAAUAAAUAAUUGAAUAAUAAUAGCCUAAUAUAAAAAAGAAUGAAAUCCUUGCUGAGUGAUCAUGGCAUUCCUUUUUUAAAUAAUGCAAUAAUUACAAAAACAUUUUAGUUAAUUAAAACUUUAAGUUAAUGUUUGCCUGUUUUUCAACUAUUUAUGCAGAGCCUAAUCAUUUUGGGUUAGUGAUACAGAGCACAGCAGCUGCACAGGGACAAAGACUUGUAAGUACCUGUGCCAUUGCCACAGAUGGAACAAUGCCAGUUCUUUUGAGUUCUUAAAAAUGUGGAAAUUGAAAGGGAGCAAGGAAUGGCCAUCUACUCUCUCCUGUUUGCUUUACCCACCUCUCCCUAUGUUGCUGGUUGUUUAGAUUGUAUCUGACAUGUAUGGCCGGACCAGACUUUUCUGGUGCUUGGUUCCACUAUGUGCAUCAGGAACUGGUUUGGGUGAGCAGUCCAUAGUGCCACGUGUUGGGACGCAGCACGUGCCUUGCACCCAGCAUCUGCAGCACAUGCCUGGUUGGAUAUCUGAGCCAAGGGAGGAAGCGCUGCUGGAUCUGGGACCGGCUCCAUACACGAGACUUGGAGAGUCACUGCCACAGCAGGGCUGGGCUGCAGACAGAUAUCUUACUUUACAUCAGCAAAGAUCUCCUUGCACCUGGAGGAAAGCCAAGCACCGGGGAGAGAGAGCAGAGGAUGAGAUACUGCUGCACAUCAGAACGGCCUUGAAACGAAUGUCGUGUAUCCUCAGCUUUGAGAACUGAAUUCCAUGGGUUGUAAUUGAAUCCUUUGUCAGACCCAUGGGGCUCAGUUCUUCAGCUUGGAUAUUUCUGUCUUCACAUACACGGGAGAUCAAAGAAGCACUUGAUCAUGCGCUGACUCUUCCGGAUUCUGAUAGCAGCAAAUAGGAAAGAGAAAGAAUAACUGAUGUGAAUCACUCUGACAGGGAGGUUUCACUGCAAAGACCAGGCUCUCUCAUGUCGAGUAGCUGCGCAGUGAUUGAACCUCUCCGUGGCUGAUAGUCUGUCCCUGCAUUGCUGCUCGCUGGUUAAUUCAACUCUCCUCUCAGUUUUAUCGAAGUUACAUAUCAAGUGCUGAGAUGAUGCUGACUGACUUAUGCUUCCCAAAAAUUGUGUGGUGCUGCUGAAUGUGGCUCUGCUCCCACAUGGGACCAGCAACACCCCAGCCCUGCCAAGUCUACCCACUGUUGGUCUGCUGCAGCCUCCUGUCUGGGAUCACUGCUGCACAGCUACUGUUUGCUCUUUUUUGGCCCCCUUGAGGUGGACCCAUUCAAGUUGUGGGCUGAAAAAGUUUGUGUUUCUUCCUUGGAAGAUCUGUGUUAAAGUUUAUUUUCUUUCAGGCGUCAGGAAAAUAAAAUUUAUGGUCUUCAAACACGUAAAGAGGUAUAAUUACCAACGAGAUUUCUACUUCAUUCCUGCAAUAAUAACCCUUCCUAAAUUACAUUUUUCAAACUCAGUAAAAUGGAUCAGUCACUGAUCUCAUCCCUGUGGUGCAAUGCUGUUAAAAGCACAGGAAUAUUAAAAUCCCACAGGUGCAGGAGGAGCGUGUUCAGCUAAGUAGUUUAAAGCUGCUGUGUGCCUUUUAUUCUGAAAAUGUAUUUACACUAAAAAUAAUCAGAUGUAAUCACUGUUGCCUGUGGAUACAGAUGUACCUUUGUACCGAUGUGCUUUUCAUAUAAAUUUUAUUCCAGGGUUUGAAGGGUUUCUUUGUGGCUGUCUGAAGCAUAUCAUGCUGCCCAGUUGUGAGACGACGGAUCUUGGAAGGACUAACCAGUCCCACCAGCUCCUGCUGGGAGAUAUCCAUUAAACAAGAAGAAGGAGAAACAUACACAAACGAAAGCGAAAUUCUGAAGUUUCAUUUCUGCUGUACUCCCUGUCAAGGAGAGGGAAUUAAAUUGGAGGUGAGAGUUAGCAAAAUCUGCAAAAGAAGAGAGUGAGGUAGCAGCUGCACAGAAUGCCCGAGGCGGGCAUCUGCUGGCAGGGCUGCAGCAGCCACCUCUGGGGCAAAGCCCAGCCUGCAGGCACUGAUGCAGCACAGGGGAUGUGUGUGUGAUGGCAGCCUCACAAGGCCACGGAUGAAAUCAAGAUAGCCUUUGGUACGGCAGUUUUGCAGUCCUAUCCCUAAAGCACAGUGUUUGUAACGCUGGUUUUGCUCAGCAAUCUACCAUAAGUUGUGAACUAACAAUAGUACUGCUGGUGUCUAGCUGGAAGUACUGGAAUUUCUAGUCAGCUCUUAAAUCCAGCCUGCCCUCCAGCCCUCUGUGCUGACCACUCUGUGUGCUCUUCCUUUGCUGUGGGCUCCUGUAGUCCUUUUGAUCCUCCCUUGCCCAACAUGACACAGCAUUCUCUUUCUGGAUACUCCUGGGAUCUUCUCUUUAAACCGCCCGGUUAAUCUUUCAAGAGCACUCCUGCAGAAUUAAAAUUAUUUUUAACAUGUGGCUUCAAACCAACGUGCCUUCUGCCUGCCUACCUGCACAGCCUUGCAGUACACACACAGACCCCUCUGCAGUCUGAGCCAGGCAAUGCUCAGGCACCCCAGCAUGCCCAGGACCUGUGCUGCGAUUCCCAGUGUGCCCCCGGGUAUGCGGUGUGCUGGUUGAUAUGAUACCCAAAUUCUCUCAGCUUCUCCUGUAUCCAGGCUUAUGAAACUGACCUCUUUAAUUCAGGCCUCCUCCUGUUUAAUUUCAGAGUGAAAUGUUGAUUUGUCAUUGUAAUUUUUUUUUUCUCUUUACAGAGUCAUUCAGGUGAAUUCAGCUGUAUUCGUUGCUGCUGUAGACUUGAAACUCAAUUUUGGGCCAAGUAAAGCAUUUGCUAGAAAAUAUUACCCCUCUCUCUAUCUUUUUCUAGCUGAUUUAUGCCACAUUCUGGUGCUUAUUCACAGAUCUCAGCCUGUGCAUUUUGUUCAGGUAAAGCAAUGGGCUGAGUCUUCCAGGCACAGCUGUGGCAGAGCAGCACAACCACCCACAUUUUACAGAUAAAUAAGCUGAGUCCUGACCCUUAGAAUGGGACAACAACCCUGAGUUCCACUGAGUGCCAGCUGUAUUUCAGUUCUGGCUUUCUGCUUUUCAUUCCCAACAAAUAAAUGACAACAAGCACCUCCUUUGGCUGCUGGCAGGAGCGUGCCCCAGAGUCCCACUGAGCCUCUCCUCCCUUGGCUGAGGGUCUAUCCCCAUUUGCUGAUCAACCACUGCUCCCCUUUGCUGCCUCCCACAC
ensembl:lncRNA